rnacentral:rRNA from 1 species
AUGGCUUUCCUCCACUCCAACGCCGUGCGGACGACGCCAUGGAAGGGCCACCAUGACCAGGAGCAGGACGACGCCUUGGAAGGUUCACCGACAGCAGCAGCUACGGUCUGGUCUUCUCCACUGACAGGUAUAUGGACAUGGAGGUCCGCCAUGGAAGGCCUGGAGCUCGUCAUGGAGGGUCCCUCCUCUCUCUUCCCCUCCCUCCACUCUGUUGGUUGGUUGGACGGAAGACCACCACUCGUCCGGCUCUGCUUCUUCCACCGUUGCUCCCCUCCCACCAUUGUGCCAGAGACGCUGUGCCAAGCACGGAAGGUAUCGCCCUUUUCCCUAUUUGCUUGCUUUCUGCAACUUAUCUUCAGAGAUGAUAAAAACUGUAGAAAUCUGAAACUGCAGAAAGCUGCAGAAAUAUUUAGAGUUCCUUUUUCAGAAACUUUUAUUCUGGCGCAGUUUGUACAGAUUUUUAUGUACAGUGCGCAAAAUCAUAUGACUGCUAAAAAUGGACCGUCGUAUAUACCUGUACAAGGUUGGAGUAGGCACGGUCAACGUUGGUGUAUUUUCAGUUUGUACUGUCAUAAUUUUCAGUUUGUAAAACUGAGAAGUGUAUUUUCCAUUUUGAAACUGAGAUCUGCUUGCACUAUCAUACAGUAA